AUUGAACGCUGGCGGCAGGCCUAACACAUGCAAGUCGAACGGAGUGGCAGACGGGUAAGUAACGCUUGGGAAUGUACCUUCCAGUUCUGAACAACCAUUAGAAACGAUGGUAAUACCGGAUACUGGGAGAGAAGCCCGCGUAUGAUUAGGUAGUUGGUUAGGUAAAGGCUGACCAAGCCAAUGAUCAUUAGCUGGUUUGAGAGGAUGAUCAGCCACACUGGGACUGAGACACGGCCCAGACUCCUACGGGAGGCAGCAGUGGGGAAUAUUGGACAAUGGGGGAAACCCUGAUCCAGCAAUGCCGCGGAGUGAUGAAGGCCUUCGGGUUGUAAAGCUCUUUUAUCAGGGACGCGGUACCUGAUGAAUAAGCACCGGCUAACUUCGUGCCAGCCGCCGCGGUAAUUC
rnacentral:rRNA from 1 species